AGAGUUUGAUCCUGGCUCAGGAUGAACGCUGGCGGCGUGCUUAACACAUGCAAGUCGAACGAAGAUGCCGGAGUGCUUGCACUUUGGCAGACUGAGUGGCGGACGGGUGAGUAACGCGUGGGUAACCUGCCUUAUACAGGGGGAUAACAGUUGGAAACGACUGCUAAUACCGCAUAAGCGCACGGUAUCGCAUGAUACAGUGUGAAAAACUCCGGUGGUAUAAGAUGGACCCGCGUCUGAUUAGCUUGUUGGUGAGGUAACGGCCCACCAAGGCGACGAUCAGUAGCCGGCCUGAGAGGGUGAACGGCCACAUUGGGACUGAGACAUGGCCCAAACUCCUACGGGAGGCAGCAGUGGGGAAUAUUGCACAAUGGGGGAAACCCUGAUGCAGCGACGCCGCGUGAGUGAUGAAGUAUUUCGGUAUGUAAAACUCUAUCAGCAGGGAAGAUAAUGACGGUACCUGACUAAGAAGCACCGGCUAAAUACGUGCCAGCAGCCGCGGUAAUACGUAUGGUGCAAGCGUUAUCCGGAUUUACUGGGUGUAAAGGGUGCGUAGGUGGUAUGGCAAGUCAGAAGUGAAAGGCUGGGGCUCAACCCCGGGACUGCUUUUGAAACUGUCAAACUAGAGUACAGGAGAGGAAAGCGGAAUUCCUAGUGUAGCGGUGAAAUGCGUAGAUAUUAGGAGGAACACCAGUGGCGAAGGCGGCUUUCUGGACUGAAACUGACACUGAGGCACGAAAGCGUGGGGAGCAAACAGGAUUAGAUACCCUGGUAGUCCACGCCGUAAACGAUGAAU
rnacentral:rRNA from 1 species